rnacentral:snoRNA from 1 species
AAGACUAUACUUUCAGGGAUCAUUUCUAUAGUUUAUUACUAGAGAAAUUUCUCUGCUCAUGUGGAGCACUGGCAACCUUGAGAAGGAGACAUAGCACUCUCCCCCGCAUGUGAAGCUGGUUCUACUGUUGCUUAUGCAACUGCCUUUUACCAUUGAUGACCAAGUUCUUCUCCUCCAUUGGAAGAGUGAGAGGCUGAGGAUGCAGACUGAGUUG